rnacentral:lncRNA from 1 species
CUCACACACGAGCCCUGUGCUGCACUUCACGCACGGCAGACCCGCGGCGUUCAAGCCCCGCGUUGUGCAUAUGCCGGGACGGCGACUGCCUCUCGGGUCAGGCACCUGGCCAGACCCCGUCCGGCCUGCCUGGAGAGGGCUGUAAUGCAUAAUAUGUCGACCCCCCAAGAGAUCUGGGUAGCGGGGUUUUAGAGCUGGGCUCUCUCCCGUUGGAACGUGAGCGAAUGGGUUCGAGGGUUCGCCCCGUCAGGUGGGAAGAGCCGAGCCGCACGUCCGGCAGGACGCAAAAUGGAGGCGAGGCCUUCGCAGGCGGCUCCGGGCUGAGGCGUCGCAGCAAACGGCUUGAGGGGCUGAAGACGUUCCCUAAAGAACAGUGGGCAUCUGAGCAGAUGAAUAUUCCAGAAUUCUAUGCAGCCAACCAUAAGAGCUCUGCGGCCGUUCACCUGACUGCAGCAGAAUCGAGGCUUGAUGGUUACGGUGGGUGACAGAAGAGGGGCCGUUGGAAGUGCUAUUAUGCAGUUUGCACGGGAAGAUUUCAGCACAUUUCAGCUUUAUCUAGUUAUGCUAGAAUUUGGUCAGUUAUUUAAAACAAAAGAUAAAAAUAAAAAAACACUGUAUUAUAGUGAAAAUGUUUAUCAGAUGAAGAGCUCAGCUUUAACAACACGCCUUGCCAAAAAGCUUUGCAAAUCGUUCCUCACUUGGGAGCAUGUGAGAAAGGGCUGUAAUAAGAAUAGCUGAGAUUUGCUGGAGCCAAAGCUUACGGAAAGAAGAAUCUGCAGGUUUAAAAAGAUGAACUUGCUGUAGUUGCUAUAAGCCAAUGACUGU